rnacentral:rRNA from 1 species
UUUCGUUAGGUGAACCUGCGGAAGGAUCAUUG